UACGUAGGUGGCAAGCGUUGUCCGGAUUUACUGGGCGUAAAGGAUGCGUAGGCGGGCAUUUAAGUCAGAUGUGAAAUACCCGAGCUUAACUUGGGUGCUGCAUUUGAAACUGGGUGUCUAGAGUGCAGGAGAGGUAAGUGGAAUUUCUAGUGUAGCGGUGAAAUGCGUAGAGAUUAGGAAGAACACCAGUGGCGAAGGCGACUUACUGGACUGUAACUGACGCUGAGGCAUGAAAGCGUGGGGAGCAAACAGG
rnacentral:rRNA from 1 species